rnacentral:rRNA from 1 species
CCUACGUGAGUCAGCAGUGAGGAAUAUUGGUCAAUGGCCGUAAGGCUGAACCAGCCAAGUCGCGUGAAGGAAGAAGGAUCUAUGGUUUGUAAACUUCUUUUAUAGGGAAAUAAAGAUAUCCACGUGUGGAUAUUUGCAUGUACCCUAUGAAUAAGCAUCGGCUAGCUCCGUUACAGCAGCCGCGGUAAUACGCAGGAUGCGAGCGUUAUCCGGAGUUAUUGGGUUUAAAGGACGCGUAGGUUGUUUUUUAAGUCAGCGGUGAAAGUUUGUGGCUCAACCAUAAAAGUGCAGUUGAAACUGGAAGACUUGAGUGCGGUUGAGGUAGGCGGAAGUCGUGGUGUAGCGGUGAAAUGCAUAGAUAUCACGCAGAACUCCGAUUGCGAAGGCAGCUUACUAGGCCAUAACUGACACUGAGGCACGAAAGCGUGGGGAUCAAACAGGAUUAGAUACCCUUGUAGUC